rnacentral:lncRNA from 1 species
CGCCCCCCAUCGAUGCCAGUUGGACAAUUUCCUCCCCCAAUGCAGUGGCCUGCCCACCCUCAACCUGGACAAGGCCUUCCACAACCUGUGAUGCCUCCACCACCACUCCAACAGUUCAGGCCUCCAGCAAACUUGCCACCACCUCCACCCACAGGUAUGAUGAGGCCGCCACCACCACCACCUUCUGGGGUGGGUGUUCCACCACCUGCUCUAUGGAGACCACCUCCACCACCUCAGCAGAUGGCUGGAAGGCCCAUGCCUCCACCUCCGAUGCCCAUGCCACCAAAUAUGAUGCCAAAUGGCUCGGUUCCAUGACAUCACAC